CCAAGGGGUGCCUGAGAAUCGAAGACGAUUUAAUGGCUGAGAUGCGAAGCGAACCCUUAGAACCUGAACCGGAUAGUACCGGCGUAGGAAUGGU
rnacentral:ncRNA from 1 species